AGAGUUUGAUCCUGGCUCAGGACGAACGCUGGCGGCGUGCUUAACACAUGCAAGUCGAACGGUGAACUGAAGCUUGCUUCGGGGAUCAGUGGCGAACGGGUGAGUAACACGUGGGCAACCUGCCCCUGACUUUGGGAUAACUCCUCGAAAGGGGGGCUAAUACCGGAUAUGACUGCUGCAGGCAUCUGUGGUGGUGGAAAGUUUUUCGGUCAGGGAUGGGCCCGCGGCCUAUCAGCUUGAUGGUGGGGUAAUGGCCUACCAUGGCGACGACGGGUAGCCGGCCUGAGAGGGCGACCGGCCACACUGGGACUGAGACACGGCCCAGACUCCAACGGGAGGCAGCAGUGAGGAAUUUUGCGCAAUGGGGGAAACCCUGACGCAGCAACGCCGCGUGAGUGAUGAAGGCUUUCGGGUCGUAAAGCUCUGUCAAGUGGGAAGAAACCACGAAGUGAUAAUAUCGCUUUGUGCUGACGGUACCACUGAAGGAAGCACCGGCUAACUCCGUGCCAGCAGCCGCGGUAAUACGGGGGGUGCAAGCGUUAUUCGGAAUCAUUGGGCGUAAAGGGCGCGUAGGCGGUUUGUUAAGUCAGAUGUGAAAGCCCGGGGCUCAACCCCGGAAGUGCAUUUGAUACUGGCGGACUUGAGUAUGGGAGAGGGAAGUGGAAUUCCUGGUGUAGAGGUGAAAUUCGUAGAUAUCAGGAGGAACACCGGUGGCGAAGGCGACUUCCUGGACCAAUACUGACGCUGAGGCGCGAAGGCGUGGGUAGCAAACAGGAUUAGAUACCCUGGUAGUCCACGCAGUAAACGGUGAUCACUAGGUGUAGCGGGUAUUGACCCCUGCUGUGCCGCAGUUAACGCAUUAAGUGAUCCGCCUGGGGAGUACGGCCGCAAGGUUAAAACUCAAAGGAAUUGACGGGGGCCCGCACAAGCGGUGGAGCAUGUGGUUUAAUUCGACGCAACGCGAAGAACCUUACCUGGGUUUGACAUCUCGGGGAUUUUUUGGAAACAAGAAAGUGCCCUUCGGGGAGCCCGAAGACAGGUGCUGCAUGGCUGUCGUCAGCUCGUGUCGUGAGAUGUUGGGUUAAGUCCCGCAACGAGCGCAACCCUUAUCUUUAGUUACCAUCACUUCGGGUGGGGACUCUAAAGAUACUGCCCCGGUCAACGGGGAGGAAGGUGGGGAUGACGUCAAGUCCUCAUGGCCUUUAUGCCCAGGGCUACACACGUGCUACAAUGGGCGAUACAAAGGGUAGCGAGCCUGCGAAGGUGAGCCAAUCCCAAAAAGUCGUUCUUAGUUCGGAUUGGAGUCUGCAACUCGACUCCAUGAAGCUGGAAUCGCUAGUAAUCGCGGAUCAGCACGCCGCGGUGAAUACGUUCCCGGGCCUUGUACACACCGCCCGUCACACCAUGAGAGUUGGUUGUACCAGAAGUUGUUGGGCUAACCCGCAAGGGAGGCAGGCACCUAAGGUAUGGCUGAUGAUUGGGGUGAAGUCGAAACAAGGUA
rnacentral:rRNA from 1 species